GUUUUAGAAGUACUGUAUGUUAUGAAGCUGCCCAGAGUGGCUGGGGAAACCCAGUUAGUUGGGUGGAGUAUAAGAAAUAAAUAAUAAUAAUAAAAUAAUAAUAAUAAUAAUAAUUUAUUAUUUGUACCCCGCCCAUCUGGCUGGGUUUCCCCAGCCACUCUGGGCGGCUUCCACAGAGACCAAAAAUACACUAAAA